UGUAGCCGCCACUAGUCACA
rnacentral:siRNA from 1 species